UACGUAGGGUGCAAGCGUUAAUCGGAAUUACUGGGCGUAAAACGUGCGCAGGCGGUUUUGUAAGUCUGUCGUGAAAGCCCCGGGCUCAACCUGGGAAUUGCGUUGGAGACUGCAAGGCUAGAAUCUGGCAGAGGGGGGUAGAAUUCCACGUGUAGCAGUGAAAUGCGUAGAGAUGUGGAGGAACACCGAUGGCGAAGGCAGCCCCCUGGGUCAAGAUUGACGCUCAUGCACGAAAGCGUGGGGAGCAAACAGG
rnacentral:rRNA from 1 species